rnacentral:rRNA from 1 species
AACGAACGCUGGCGGCAGGCCUAACACAUGCAAGUCGAACGCCCUAGCAAUAGGGAGUGGCAGACGGGUGAGUAACACGUGGGAAUAUCCCCCUCAGUACGGAAUAGCCCAGGGAAACUUGGGGUAAUACCGUAUACGUCCGUGAGGAGAAAGAUUUAUCGCUGAGGGAUUAGCCCGCGUCGGAUUAGCUAGUUGGUGAGGUAACGGCUCACCAAGGCGACGAUCCGUAGCUGGUCUGAGAGGACGACCAGCCACAUUGGGACUGAGACACGGCCCAAACUCCUACGGGAGGCAGCAGUGGGGAAUAUUGGACAAUGGGCGCAAGUCUGAUCCAGCCAUGCCGCGUGAGUGACGAAGGCCUUAGGGUUGUAAAGCUCUUUUGGCGGGGACGAUAAUGACGGUACCCGCAGAAUAAGCCCCGGCUAACUUCGUGCCAGCCGCCGCGGUAAAAC